GCUCAGGAUGAACGCUAGCUACAGGCUUAACACAUGCAAGUCGAGGGGUAGCAGGGUAGCAAUACCGCUGACGACCGGCGCACGGGUGAGUAACACGUAUCCAACCUUCCCAUAACUCAGGGAUAGCCUUUCGAAAGAAAGAUUAAUACCCGAUAGUACUUUUUCAAGGCAUCUUGAGAAAGUUAAAGAUUUAUUGGUUAUGGAUGGGGAUGCGUUCCAUUAGAUAGUUGGUGAGGUAACGGCUCACCAAGUCUUCGAUGGAUAGGGGUUCUGAGAGGAAGGUCCCCCACAUUGGUACUGAGACACGGACCAAACUCCUACGGGAGGCAGCAGUGAGGAAUAUUG
rnacentral:rRNA from 1 species